AAAUUGAAGAGUUUGAUCAUGGCUCAGAUUGAACGCUGGCGGCAGGCCUAACACAUGCAAGUCGAACGGUAACAGGAAGCAGCUUGCUGCUUUGCUGACGAGUGGCGGACGGGUGAGUAAUGUCUGGGAAACUGCCCGAUGGAGGGGGAUAACUACUGGAAACGGUAGCUAAUACCGCAUAACGUCGCAAGACCAAAGAGGGGGACCUUAGGGCCUCUUGCCAUCGGAUGUGCCCAGAUGGGAUUAGCUAGUAGGUGGGGUAAUGGCUCACCUAGGCGACGAUCCCUAGCUGGUCUGAGAGGAUGACCAGCCACACUGGAACUGAGACACGGUCCAGACUCCUACGGGAGGCAGCAGUGGGGAAUAUUGCACAAUGGGCGCAAGCCUGAUGCAGCCAUGCCGCGUGUAUGAAGAAGGCCUUCGGGUUGUAAAGUACUUUCAGCGGGGAGGAAGGGAGUAAAGUUAAUACCUUUGCUCAUUGACGUUACCCGCAGAAGAAG
rnacentral:rRNA from 1 species